UACAGAGGGGGCAAGCGUUAUUCGGAAUUAUUGGGCGUAAAGCAUUCGUAGCCGGUUUUACAAGUCCUCCGUUAAAUCCAGCUGCUUAACAGAUGGGCUGCGGAGGAUACUAUAAGACUAGGAGGCAGGAGAGGCAAGCGGUACUCAGUGGGUAGGGGUAAAAUCCGUUGAUCCAUUGAAGACCACCAGUGGCGAAGGCGGCUUGCCAGAAUGCGCUCGACGGUGAGGGAUGAAAGCUGGGGGAGCAAACCGG
rnacentral:rRNA from 1 species